rnacentral:misc_RNA from 1 species
GCUCCGUUGGUGAACCAGCGGAGGGAUCAUUACCGAGUUAUUCUACUCCCAAACCCCUGUGAACUUAUACCUUUACUGUUGCUUCGGCGGGUUAACGCCCCGGAAGGCCCGCGAGGACCGCCGGAACCAGGCGCCCGCCGGGGGAACCAAACUCUUGUAUCUUUUAUAUAGCAUGUCUGAGUGGAAGCAUAAACAAAUGAAUCAAAACUUUCAACAACGGAUCUCUUGGUUCUG